GAAACCCACAAACAUACUAAGUUAUUUCUCCGAAUUUGCACUCCGGAACACAUGGGUCU
rnacentral:tRNA from 1 species